UCCUGAGUUCUGAGCAAAAUAUGAACC
rnacentral:piRNA from 1 species